rnacentral:rRNA from 1 species
AGUGAACGCUGGCGGCGUGCCUAAUACAUGCAAGUCGAACGGAAUUUAAGAGAGCUUGCUCUUUUAAAUUUAGUGGCGCACGGGUGAGUAAUAUAUAGCUAAUCUGCCCCUUGCUGGAGGACAACAGUUAGAAAUGACUGCUAAUACUCCAUACUCCUUUUUACCAUAAGAUAAAUCGGGAAAGAAUUUCGGCAAGGGAUGAGACUAUAUCGUAUCAGCUAGUCGGUGGGGUAACGGCCUACCGAGGCUAUGACGCGUAACUGGUCUGAGAGGAUGAUCAGUCACAUUGGAACUGAGACACGGUCCAAACUCCUACGGGAGGCAGCAGUAGGGAAUAUUGCGCAAUGGGGGAAACCCUGACGCAGCAACGCCGCGUGGAGGAUGACACUUUUCGGAGCGUAAACUCCUUUUGUUAGGGAAGAAUAAGACGGUACCUAA